rnacentral:rRNA from 1 species
GGCUACACACGUGCUACAAUGGGUAGAACAGAGAGUUGCAAAGCCGUGAGGUGGAGCUAAUCUCAGAAAACUAUUCUUAGUUCGGAUUGUACUCUGCAACUCGAGUACAUGAAGUUGGAAUCGCUAGUAAUCGCGAAUCAGCAAUGUCGCGGUGAAUACGUUCUCGGGUCUUGUACACACCGCCCGUCACACCACGAGAGUUGGUUGCACCUGAAGUAGCAGGCCUAACCGUAAGGAGGGAUGUUCCGAGGGUGUGAUUAGCGAUUGGGGUGAAGUCGUAACGAGGUAUCCGUACGGGAACGU